GCCAGCUAGGGGCGGAAGACAGACGCAAGGCGGGCAGCUUGGCCGGCCGGUUGCCUAGCAGCGGAUGAGGAGUGCGAGGGACCAAACUUAUGUUAUCAAGCCAUGUGUUUUUAACCUGCUGAGCCAUGUUGAUGACCAAAAUCUCAGUAAACUUCAGCUCUGCUUCAAACUGCCUGGCCCCUGGAAUUCUUUGCUACAAUGAAAUCAAGAAUCCUGUUGUCAUUUGAAUGGAGGUCCCUGGAAAGAAGUAACCUGAAAAUAAUGGGCUUGGGCUGCUGCUGGUGGCAGAGUGGAACUGUAUCUCUGGCCCACACCUCACUGCUGGUGGCAAAAGAGGGAGAAAAGAUGGAAAAAGCCACAGGCACCAAUUGAAGAUGCUACUCGACACUGAAGCAUCCCUGAGGCUCCCGAAGCUUGGAAUUCUUCCCUAGAAUGUUCAGAGGAAACAGUCUCAUAUUAACAUCAUCAUUUCAGACUUCUGGCUACAGAUAUGUGUGGGAAUAUUCUUGGUUUAAGCCAUAAGUGUUUGAGAAUGGAGAUCUACAGGUAUGCAUUUUUAAAAAAUACAAACAUGCAAAAUUAA